GCCCCGAUAUCCCAAUUGGCAGAGGACGAUGGCUCAAACCCGUCGUGUUGUGGGUUCGAAUCCCACUCGGGGCA
rnacentral:tRNA from 1 species